CCCGCUGGGACCAUCUUAGGGAUUUCAACCGCCAUCUUAGCUGCAUUGGCAUUGGCGUUAGUGGGGCUCAAGAGCAGUGGGUCAAGCUUCAGAUUGAACUGUAGGGUGACCAGGAGUACAAGACCGCCGUUUAAAGUGAGGAGAGCGGCCGCCUCUUCCCACCUCAAUCUUGUGUAGGCCCCAAAGUUGCGUCCCGGGUGUCCUGCGGUCAAGCGUCUCGGGCUUGGUGUCUAUACG